AUUCCAAGAACCAGGAGGUUGUUUGCUGUACUCUCCCUUGUACAGUUAGCUGUCUCUAGUGCCUGAAUGCACUAAUUGUCCUUUGGGUAUGGAUGAGGUAAUGAAGGAAAGGGAUGCUGGGAAGAGAGGCCACAUGAGAAGUGGUUCUCUAACUUGAUGUAUACAAAUUUUCUGAGAAGAUUAUUUAAAAAGUAGUUUCCACCCAAUCCAAGGAUUCCGAUUCAGCAGGGCUGAGGUACUCCGAAGCAGGGUAUGGAUUCUGCUUUCAUCUUUCAAUGCAAGCCUGUUUCCACAGGGUUGAGAUCUGGCAUGGACAAUUUCAGCCUGAAACGAUUACUUUUGGAAAUUUGCAGUGAGUGGAAACAGUCAUGUAGAGCUGUGGAUCUUGCUACCUGGAUCAAUAACUUCUUCUAGUUAAGCUUCUUGCCAAGGAAAAGCAAGGAAUAUCAAAUUUCAUAGACCUAAUGAACCACUGGAAACUGCUUGCACCCAUGUGUGCAAGGAUCGCUUUUUAUGAUUUAUACAAACCAAAGCACUCAUUGGAAUAAGAAUAAUAGCUAACGUUUAUUUAUCAUUUAUUAUCCUGGCCACUGUGCCAAGUAUUUAUAUACAGUGAGUUAUUUAAUCCCUGCAACAACCCAUGGGUAGGUACUAUUAUUUUUCCUUCUUUAUAGAUAAGAACAUUGAGGCACAAAAAUGCUAAAUUACAGAGUGGGAUCAAUGUGUUGCUCGCUUAGAAAAUGAGUCAAGUUCCAUAUGUGUGAGUAAAUGUGAACAUUCCCACUUCCUUGUCACUUGGUUUUCUUUCUCAAGUUUGGUGUGUUUGCUCUGUGUUCACAGGAUAUUGUUAACUUCUUAGUCCUUUGAAGAAAAAUCAAAUUUUUUCUUAAGAAGAGACUUUUGAAACUCACAAUAUGAAUUCAAGAAGCAAAAAAGAAAAUCGAAUUUCACAAAUGGGAUACCAAUAGCUUGGAAAAAUCCAUUGCUUUUGCAGGGUUUGUUAUUGAGGGAACCCUGCCUUUCCCAGCAUCCUUAACAUUUCUUCCUCAAAUAAAAGGUAAUAAAAUGCAACCAACUGACUCAUUUUCUAAGUGAAUGACAUAUUUACUCUACUCUUUAAGUUUAAACUCUAACCAAUUCCCCAAUCCUUAGUUCCCAUGAAAUGUAAUGUUCUCUUCCUAAAAUGUUUGGCCAAGUUGGGGAAGGUGGGCAUGGCAGUGUGAGCCUGUAGCCAGGUUCCAAGGUUCGCUUGAGGUUAGGAGGUUGAGACUAGCCUGGGCAAUAUGGCAAGACUCUGUAUCCAC
ensembl:lncRNA DLEU1 deleted in lymphocytic leukemia 1